rnacentral:lncRNA from 1 species
CUUAUCUGUAACUAACACACAAAAGGAAGACAGUGCUAUUUAUUUUAGAAUAUAAGUCCUUAGAGGUUUUCUAGAUGUUGUCCUUGUCCAGGUUGUCUAGAUGUAAUCCAUACACUCCUUCCUCUUUUCCAGUUUAGCAAAGGAUGUCCAGCCUCUUUAUGUUCUUGUGAAUAAAUGAUCUCCAGUGACACUUUCAAGAAUUUGGCAGGUCAGAAGGGGGACUGCUGCUGAGCCAGUAAGCCCUUGAGGGGAUGUGUUACCCAUGCAUGGGAGAGAUAGGGAUGGCAUGCUUCAAAGAACGACAGCGAUAAGACAGAGCCACCUCUGUGGCCAUUCUCACCAUCUGUGCCUCCUUCCCCAUCUCAGGUUCUCAUCAUAGCACUUUUUUUCCUGGUAAAUCCCCAGAAUAACCAGAUCUCUCUCUUUUCUUCCUAUGGUUCUUUUCUCCCAAGUCUGUUCAUGGAUUGAAAGCAUUAUGAUCUGUGUUAUGGUGUUGUGGAGAGAAUGUGUUGCUCAUUAAUGAAAGUUUGUUAUUGUGUUGCACUUUUAUUUUACAGAUAUUUGAGCAUGAUGAUAAAAGUUUUCUGAGCAAAGAUACCUUGGAAAUCAAAAAGCUGCAGGAGCAGAAUGCCAGCCUUCGGGCUGCUAUUGCACAAAUGAGGAAAGAAAUGGAGAAUCUUGAUCAGCAGGUGUUGUCCUCUCUUCCUCUGACAGAAAGCAGACAGCUUGCAGAACAAGGUUCAUUGUGCACAAACAACAUUUCAACUGCAAACACUUUGAGUAACACCAAAGUCAGCUCAGCUAACUUGGAUUGUGUAGUAAACCCAGACACAGAAAAGGAGCUGCAGUUUGCAAAGCCACAGCAUCCCUCAAGGAUCUCUUCUCUGCUUGCCUGCCCUAGCUUAAAGGAAGCAGAAGGUCCAAGCAGCAGUGGGGAAGAAAAGGAAUUACCAUACACCAAGGUUCAGCUAGAUUUCUCUGUUGAAAAUCAUGGGCCAGAGCAACAAAAGGCAGAUAGAUCCUCAAAGAUCGGCCAAAGUCAGCCACUCAGGCAGAACCCUGGUCAAGCCCAGCAGGUCCAGCUUCCUUCAUCUCAAGCACGUGAUUUCUGCCAAGGGGAGUUUGCAGUUACACAUUCGACUGAGCAAUCUGAAGAAUCUCAGCAAAAUAUCAAAGCCAAGGAUAAACUGGAAAUGCCAGCUGCAGAUUUGACAGUCAGAGGAACCAGGCUGGAAGUUCAGAAGAAGUUAAAAUCCAGGAAUUUGUCUCCUGCUCGUAUCAUAAAACCAAAAAUCUCUUCUAACAUGGCAAAAAUCCGCAACUAUAAUAUUAGAGACUGAUUUCUUUGUUGGCAACACGUUCCAGGUCCACGCUUGCUAUUAAUUUACUUUGAAGUCUGUAAAUCAGAUGUGAAUACCGGCUUUGUUUUUAUAUGAGUUGGGACUCAUAUAAGAAGAAGAGAGAAAAACCACUCUGUUUCAUACUGUGAACCCUAAAAUAAAGGGUUAAUAUGUGAGAUUACA